rnacentral:rRNA from 1 species
UACAGAGGUCUCAAGCGUUGUUCGGAUUCAUUGGGCGUAAAGGGUGCGUAGGUGGCGCGCUAAGUCAGGUGUGAAAUUUCGGAGCUUAACUCCGAAACUGCAUUUGAUACUGGCGUGCUUGAGGACUGGAGAGGAGACUGGAAUUCAUGGUGUAGCAGUGAAAUGCGUAGAGAUGCGGAGGAACACCGAUGGCGAAGGCAGCCCCCCUGGGCUGACACUGACGCUCAGGCACGAAAGCGUGGGGAGCAAACAGG